GACAAAGUUACAAGACAAAUGUGAAUUUACAUUUGAAGAUCUAAGCUACUCUACGACCUACGACGUGGAGGUGGUUGCUUUCAACGGACACCUUUACAGUAAAACCAAGACAGAACGUGUUAGCACUUCCUACAAUGACAAAGCUCUCAUUGGCUUUCUGGUCUUCCUCAUCAUGCUCACAUCUGUGGCUGUGCUUUGGGGCGUCUACAAGAUCCACAUGA